rnacentral:rRNA from 1 species
UCGAACGAAAGCUUUAUGCUUUAGUGGCGAACGGGUGCGUAAUACGUGAGAAUCUGCCCUUAGGAGGAGAAUAACUUCUGGAAACGGUUGCUAAGUCUCCAUAUGCCGAGAGGUAAAAUAGUUUAUACUGCCUAGGGAUGAGCUCACGCCUGAUUAGCUUGUUGGUAAGGUAAUGGCUUACCAAGGCCACGAUCAGUAGCUGGUUUGAGAGAACGAUCAGCCACACUGGGACUGAGACACGGCCCAGACUCCUCCGGGAGGCAGCAGUGAGGAAUUUUCCGCAAUGGGCGAAAGCCUGACGGAGCAAUACCGCGUGAGGGAUGAAGGAUUUUGGUCUGUAAACCUCUUUUCUCAAGAAAGAAGUUCUGACGGUACUUGAGGAAUAAGCAUCGGCUAACUCCGUGCCAGCAGCCGCGGUAAUACGGGGGAUGCAAGCGUUAUCCGGAAUCAUUGGGCGUAAAGCGCCUGUAGGUUGUUUAAUAAGUCUGUUGUUAAAGACUAGGGCUCAACCCUAGGAAAGCAAUGGAAACUACUAGACUUGAGUAUGAUAGGGGUAGAGGGAAUUUCUAGUGUAGCGGUGAAAUGCGUAGAUAUUAGGAAGAACACCGGUGGCGAAGGCGCUCUACUGGAUCAUUACUGACACUCAGAGGCGAAAGCUAGGGUAGCAAAAGGGAUUAGAU